GAAUAGAGGAACCGAGCGCCUGAAACCCUGAAGAUGAUGCUUGUGGAGGACCAAGAGCCAAACCAAAAGCACUAUUGUCAUUUCUUGUGAUAUGAACUUGGUUAGAAUUGCCGAUCAAGUCAUUAGAAGUAAAUGGAGAGUUGUCAAACUGUGGUCGAGAAGUUGAAUUCACAAACUGAGGCUGGGUUGAAUAUCUUGUGGCUGUAUUAUCAUUAUACCCUGCAACUGAGAGUCCUGAAUCCACUACAGGCUGCUG
rnacentral:misc_RNA from 1 species